rnacentral:rRNA from 1 species
AUUGAACGCUGGCGGCAGGCCUAACACAUGCAAGUCGAACGAGUGGCGGACGGGUGAGUAAUGUCUGGGAAACUGCCUGAUGGAGGGGGAUAACUACUGGAAACGGUAGCUAAUACCGCAUACCAUCAGAUGUGCCCAGAUGGGAUUAGCUAGUUGGUGGGGAAACGGCUCACCAGGGCGACGAUCCCUAGCUGGUCUGAGAGGAUGACCGGCCAAACGGGAACUGAGCAGCGGUCCAGACUACUACGGUGGGCAGCAGUGGGGAAUAUUGCACAAUGGGCGCAAGCCUGAUGCAGCCAUGCCGGGUGUAUGAAGAAGGCCUUCGGGUGGUAAAGUACUUUCAGCGGGGAGGCGUUACCCGCAGAAGAAGCACCGGCUAACUCCGUGCCAGCACCGCGGUAAUUC